GCUUCGCAGGCGGCGGCGGCGGUGCAGGGCGCCAGGGCCACGUCCUCGGGGCCGCCGCAGGGGGGAGGCGCGUACUUGCGGCGCAGGGAGCGGCUGACGUUCUGCGUCGGGUACCCCAGGAGGUGGGUGACGCGGCUGCCGCGCCCGCUGGCCUUGCACCCGGGCGCCACGGCGUCCUCUCUGUGGAAAACAACAGGCGGGCGGGUGAGCGGGCUGCUCCGCAGCGGGGCGUGGGCACGGCCUGGGCAGAGCCGGGGGCUCUUGGCAACCUCUUGUCUCCCGCGCCUCCCUCCACCUGCCCUCGUCUCUCUCCCUCGGCCUCGACCUACUGUCCUUUGUGACCCUUCCUGGGUCGGCGACCCUGCAGCGGUCCCGGAGCCAGCAUCCCCAUCCUCCAGACAGGGCUUGUCCACGCGUAUCUGGAGAGCCCUGCAGGCAGCCCCCUCCAGGCCCCUGCAAUCCCUUUCUGAUGUUUCGCAGGCCCAGAAGAAGGUGCUUUUCCUCUUCUUCUUUCCUUAGCUAAUCCUGACCUUGCUCGAGCAAUCUCUCUCUUUCUCACCUCCUGCCCCUCAGUCUUCUCCAUCUUUCCCUCCAUCCCCGAGGCAUUGCAAUCAUUAGCACUACUAGACUUGUUCUAUUUUUAUUUCUAGUUUGCUUCUAAUAUAAGUUAUUAGCACUAUUCUUAUUAUUAGCUCUUCUUAAAUAAUAAUGUCAGAGUUCUUACCGGCGCAGUACAGGGGAAACGUGAAAAAACAUAGGCCCUGCCCUCCAGGAGCUUACAGUCUAGACAAGACAGACAGGUGCGUAGGCAGGAGGGAAAUGGAAGGCAGGGAGCAGAGGUGAAGACUGGGGUGGCAGGGGGAGGGGAAAGCCAUGAGUUGGGUGGCAGGUCGACAUGCCGCAGUCCCAGCACUCCGUGGCGAUGGCGGGCAGGGUUGGGGUGGGGGGCCCAGCCGGCCGGUGGCAGGCAGGAGUGAGGUGGGCAGGGCGCCGGUUCCCUGCCGCACAGCAGCAUGCAGCAUGCAUCAGGUUUUACCUGAUCUCACUAGCCAAGUCGCCGCAGGCCCCUCCGCCGACCCCGCCGCCGUUGCCGUAGCCGAAGGCACCGCGGGCGCCGCCAGCCCCGGAGCCCCCGCAGCAGCAGCAGACGAGCCCCCAGAUGCCUACGGCCAGGCAGCCCAGCGCGAGCAGAGAGCCCAGGACGAUGCCGAUGAUCACGCCUAUACGCCGGGAGUCUGUGGAGAGAAGUGGAGGCAGCUCCAGGCCAAGAGAACAACAGCUCAUUCCUGAGAUAAGGAUCCUGCUGCCAUCUGCCAGAUCCUGAGGCUGCUCAAGGCAAGCCAGGGAUGAGCCAGAACUCGGCUGAGAGCAGAGGCUCCACCCUGGAGAAGCACCGCUGGAAGCACCCACACAGGAAGGACUCUCUCCAUGCCAUAGGAGCCUGCCAGGCAGGAUGGUAAGCAUUCAGGGAGAGGGGCUUGGGAAGGAGCGACAGGCUGCAAGAAAAGCACCUCCACCCUGCACCAGGCUGAGAGAUUCUUCAAUUGUCCCAGACCAGGGAGCCUCACCCAGCUUUUCUAUCUCCUUAGAAGUCUUCUCAACCUCCUCCCAAGGGUUCCAGCCUUUCCGCACCCCUCCCUCUCCUUGGGAAGUUGCUCCUAAUGUCUCACCUUGAUUCCUCUUGCUGUAGCACUAAGGAAGUACUACAGGGAAUGUGAGAGGAGAGGCUGGAGAGAGGGAAGAAAGGCAAAGUGGAAGAGAGAGCUGGAUGGGAGACUUGAGGAGAGACAGGAAUGGAGGAAUCACAUGGGCUCUCCAAGGAAGAGGACAGUGGUGAUUCUUUGCCCCCCAAAAGCACCAGAAACUGGCCAUGCUUUACGGGGUGUCAUCUCAAUAGUGGUGCCUACUCUCUGCUUGCAAAUUCUUUCUGAAUCUUCAAGGUGCUUCCAGAACUCCUGAUCUUCCCUCUGGAGGUAAGGGAGGGGAGAAAAGGCGGCUCCAGCUGAGGGUAUUGAUGCGUUAAUGCAGCCAGUGCUGAGUUGUCCUCACACACCCAUUGACACACCACACAGGGGGAAGUCCGGGUCCCCACAGCACAGCUGGAGCCUCCCGAGUGGACUCUGCCAGCCCUGCUCUCAUCAGACAGAGAAGGGCUGCAGCUAUCCUGCCGGAAAUGUCAUCAUUCCCAUGCAGGUGCACGCACCCACACACUCACAUACACAUUCACGCUCACACAAAGGCUGAAAAUGUCACCCCGCCUUCCCAAAUUCCUCCUUCAUGCCCCUUCAUCCCAAAUCCAGACUGCAAGAGGGACUCGGAGCCCUUUCCAGUGAUGUUGGCAUAGAAUGCCCCUUGGUGGAACUUGCCCCAACCUGGGCAGGAAGCCACAAUGUCCAAACUUGAGCCCUGCCCUGUGGACCUGUCCUGGUGGGGUGAGAAGUCUCUGGAGUUGCCAUCCCCACCACCCUCAGGCCUCAUCCUAGAGUGGGGCACUGCCCUGUCAUAGCACAGGGGGCCCAAGGCUGAGGUCUCAGGCCUGAGCUGUCACUGGCCAUGAUGGAAGAAACCACUCAGACUUACACCAGACUUAGUCUCUUGCCCUUUCAAGGCAAGUGACUUCCCUGCCCCUUGGCCCUGGCCUUGGGAGAGAAGGAGUAGCGUUGGGAAUAGCACACAGUCUGAUGAAAAUUGAUCCUUCCCAAGCUCCUCCUGAGCCCUCACCCAAUGCCCGUGCUUACCCCUCUCCUACCCCACCUCCAGCUCCUGCAGAGCAAUCAAUCCCUCUCCUCCUAGUCACGGCAUGAGCUUGCAGGGCACCUGCACACAUGUGUGAGCCCGACAGGGGACAUAUAAAGAUCCACUCAAAGACCUCUGCACUACAGACACACACCCUGAACAUCAGGCACAGGGUCUCCUGGGGAAAGGUCCCCUGGUAAUACCCACACCCGGCUGCAGCAGGGCAAGGGUGGGCAGCACCCUGCCAGGCAACUCAGGCAGCCCCAGGCUCCACUGUGAGCCCUUGCUGCCCCUUUCCUUCCCACCUAGCCUCAUGCUGGCUACCCUGCCCCCUGCCCAGCCCCGUACCUGGGCUCAGGCACACGAGUAGAAGGUGGAAUGCUCCUCCAACUCUCAUGUCUCUAGGCUCGGUGUUUCCUCCGUCUGGGCUGGGUAUCCCGUGGGGUCGUAGUGGUGGGUGUGAGGGGGUAGGUGGAGGGAGGGGGAGCUGAGGGCCCAGACACUGCCUGGGGUGGCAGGAAGGUGCAAUGAGUGCCCAGCUGGGGAGCAGCUGGAGUUAUUUCUAUGGGAGGGAGGGGGCCUGGUCCCCGCCUUGGGGAGGAGUCCCAGGAACCCUAAUUAGCAGGGUGACAGGGUGGCCUACCUGGGCAUUACCCAGCCCUCACCCAAGCUCUUCCCUGUCCUAAGAGUGGCACAGGACAGCCAGCGGGACUUGUAAUUAGGCACCUGUUAAACUUCACUUCCUCCUGGCCACAUCCUCAGGGUGACAACAGUCACCUCAUUUACAGCUUCCAAGGGCUCCCCUCACCACUCAUUUGCUGCCUCCUUCCCUGGGGGAAGUGGGGAAGAGGAAGGAGAAGCCAGGCUUGGGAGAAAGAGUGGCCAGGACCUGAAGAGUUAAUCCUGAUCCCAGGGCAUAGGGUUCCCCAGGAGUGUCCAGCCCACCUUCCCCCAGGCUUCAGGCCUUUCAAAGGGACUCAGGCCUCCUGAGCUGAAAGAGGAGAGAAGGGGUGUGUGCAGGAACAGAGUCUCCUCCUGGCUGUCCCCUCUGGAACUGUCCUCCACACCCAUACUCGACUCAAGGCCAUCCCCAAGUGUAGGGGACCCCUGGGAGCAGGGGUGCUAUGGGGGGUCCAGGGUGUGUGCUAGGAGUAAGGUGACUGAUGGGCUAGUGAGGGAGUGUUGGAGAGAACAGCGCCAAGAGGACCAGGGAAGGGGGUGCCUGUGUAAGCGUGUGCACCCCUCAGCAAUGUCUGUGGGAGGGAGGCAGGAUGUCUGUGUCAGGGUGUCUCUGUGAGGAUGGCUAAGCCCCUCUGAGUGAACUUCUUGAGGGAUCGCUUGGUGUCCUGGCUUCUCUGCCCAGAAAGAGUAGCCAGGUCUUGAGGGUUAAUGCAGUCCCAGUAUUAACUGGGUCCUUGAGACCAAGGACCCUCAUAACCUGGACUGGUCAUCGGGCUGACUAAACCAGCACAGUUCUGGGUAAGUUCGUGCUGGGGUGGGGAGGGUCCUGGUAGGCAUGGGGAGCAAGUGAAGGGCCACCCCUUGUUGGCUUGUCUAAGGGGGACAGAAUGGGCAUGUGCCUUGUUGGACUCCAUGGUGGGAGUCAGGACAUGAGUGACCCCAUUCAAUAGCUCAACUCCCUCAAAGGAGUCAGGGACUGCCCCCAUCCCUACCAUGGGGCACAGAAAGGGCAGAGGAGGAAGAGUGUUAGGGAGAGUUAUGGGGCUCAGGGAUGCUGCCAGGGCCCACCCCUCUGGGGAAAAAUAAGUCAGAACAUUAAGGAAACACAAGGAGUCCACGCGUCUCUGCAUUCCAAGCCGUUGCACCUGAACUCCCAACAAUAACAGGGCGCUCUGAGACCUACCAGAUGUACACAAUGAAUAUCUUUAUUUCCUUAUUUAUUUUUAGGUUUAUGGGAUUGUCCUGCUCCCUUUGAAGAGCAGGGAUCAUUAUCCCCAUUUUACAGAUGGGGAAACAGAGACCUGGAGAAACAUGGGGAUUCAGCCAAUGCGGCUGGUGCCUAAGCUGGGAUACCCAGGUACCCAGGGUGUCAGUCCAGAGAGGUCCAAAAAAUGGUCUUGGUGAUCCUGUGGAUUACUAGACCCACUCACGAACAAGAACCAUGGAAGGUCAGGGUGAGUGGGAGGGAAAACAGGUCAGACCACGAACAGAGAGAUUGAGGAGAAAGCAGUAACAUUGUGGUUCCACUAAACUACAGUGCAGGCUUCAGAUUUAAUUGGGUUCUGGAUGUGGGCUAAUGUUAGAGCUGGGGUUAAGUUUGGGGUUAGUUGAAUUAUGAAUGAGGUUGAGGUCAGAUUUGAGGUUGGGAUUAGAGUUAAGGUUGGGAUUAGGGUUAGAAAUACAGCUAGAAUUGAGGCUCAGGUUUAUGGCUGGGAUUUGUGUUACGAUAAGGAAUAGAGUUUUAGUUUCAUUUACAGCUCUGCCUGGGAAUACAGUUAGGGCUAAAUCAAAGGCUGGGUUUAGAUUGAUUUAGCAUUGGGUUAGAACUAAGUUUGAGAUUCACAUUGAAAUAGGCUGUGGUUAGGGUUGGAACAUGGUUUAAAGACACGUAAGCAGCGGGAGUUGAUGGGGAUCAAAGAUGAGGUUUUAUUUCUAAUAUAGAAAGACUUCAGCCUCCAUCUGCUAAAUCCAGGUUUGGCUAGAAUUUUCAAUCCUUAGUGCGGGGAGACUACUAAUGGCACAUGUUGAUUGGGGUCCCAAGACUUGGAGGAGGAAGCCAAAUGUACACGAGCCCAUCUAAGGGGUAUGAGGCAACUAAAUCCCAUAGAGAAUGGACCCUCUGAAGUCCUGCUCCACUACUAAAGCUCACCACCUGGCCAAGCUCCAGAAAAACAUCUGGGGAGGAGACGCAGGAAGCUACUGACAAUGAGUUGGGCUCUGACACCAAACCGAACUAGAAGAUGGGGUCCAUCAGAGGGAGUCUUACUGAGUGGGGAGGAGGGGUGGUCUGGAUUUGGAGUCCUUAGGAGAUGGGAGUUGGGAGAAACUGAGGGCCUACAUGCUCCUAGAACAGCCACUUUAUGGGGCACCACAUGGGGGUCUUUCAAAGCCUGAAAGGGCAGAGUGCCAUUGUUGUUUCCCCUUGACCCUCUGAGGCUUAAUUGCUACCUUCUUGCAAUUUGAGUCCUAUAAAAGAAGCUGUCAGCCUUCCAGCCCUAAACCCUGAGCCCUGCAGGGUUUUCAGGGAGGGCAGCAGUGGGGAGGCUGUGGAUGGGGUGAAGGCACUGGGGUGUCAGCAUAGUUUCCAAAGCAUAUGUCACAGUCCUACAGUCCCCUCCCUCUGGGCCCAGCUCACAGUCCGUGUAAGUCUCUGGGCCUUAUCCUCAGCAGUGGAAGAGGGCCCCACUCCUAGGAAGACCCCGUCCCAAUUCCUCCCUCUCAUUUUUCCCCAACCAGUCUCCAGCCCAAACAUCUCAUUUCCCCACCCACUUCCUUUUCAGGUUUUAUAAAGGUCUGGUCCAGGAGACUACUGGGGUUCCCCCUGUGACCCCAGAGAGAGAGAAGAAAGAGAUUGGGAGAGAUAGUGAUGAGUUAAGGGGCAAAGACAGAGACAGGGACAGAGGCAGACAGAAAGACACAUGGUCUAAAUGGCCCCUCCAGAGACUCAGAGGGAUACAGAGGAGGCAGAGGGCCCAGGCCACGAGCUGGGAACCAAUACAAAUUUCCAAAAGGGCCCCUUGCUUUUUCCUAAGAAAUCCAUGACUCUCCAGGGAAGAAUGGCCCUGCUUUGACUGGUAUUUGCUUCUAUUCUAAGACAGUAACAGAAAAUCAAAGACUGGCUUAGAAAGGAGUAAACAGGGAGAUACAGGAGGUAGGAAGAGGCUGGACAAAAACUCAGAGAAGGCCACAGAUUGCUUACCAGAUGAAGUGCAGCCCAGCCCCAGAACCUUUCUGGGAAGGACGGACAGAGGGCUUGGGCUGCCUACUCUUCCUCCAAAGCCUAUUCUUCCUCCAAAGUCCCUUUCAUGGCAACUCCACCCCACUCCUCUAAGCCCUGCCCUCCCCUGCCUGUACUUGCCCACCCCAACCCCUCUCAGUGGCCGCCAGACUCCCUGGGCUCAGGCUCAAUCAAGCUCCCCACAACCCCUGCCUUGGCUGGCACUGCAAUUUGACUCAUUCUAAACUCCUCCCCACACAGUCAGCAAGCUCCUCAGCCCCCUCUCCCAAGUCCCCAUGUAGCCCAGGGCUCACCCUGCAGCACCCAGGGAGGAGCUGUCCUGCAGAGGAAACCUCUGAGGUAAGACUCUGGGAGCAGAAGCUGUGAGUGACAAUGGAUAGGCAAAGAGUCACAGAGAAGCCAAGGAGCCUUGCAGCUGCUGUCUGUCCACCCAGCUUUCAGUGAUGAUUUGGAGGUGGAGGUCUGCCAGGUGAGGCCAUGGUUGCAUGAGAAGGGCAGGGGGCUCAGAGGUUGCAUGGGUGGUGAUGGGACAACGUCGGAUUCUGGUUACAGAGAGGGAUGAGAUCGACAUGUGGGGCUAAGUUUGAGGGUGUGGGUUGGGUUCGAAACUAAGGCUCAAAUCAAAGCUGGCAGGGAAGAGCCGUGAACACAGGUGACACAGGGACUCCCCAAGCUCCUGCUUAGGUUUCCCAAACCUCAGUGGUUCUGACUGGUACACUUCAGAAGAAGUGGGAUUCUAGGAGGAGCCUGGAUAUGCCCACAUCUCUCCCAUCAAGCAAUGUCCUGAAGCUGACAGACUCAGAAGAGCAAGCAGCACACACAUAGUCCCCAUCAAUUAAAGGAGUGGCUGGAGUUGUCACUACAUCAACAAAGCACAAGAGCAAAGGGAGGCGAUUGAAUGCCACCAACUGAAUUGUUAGCAAGAGAAUGAGUGGAGGCGAGAAGAAAUCGCUUGUAAAGGCUAUGUGAUUCCCUGAUGACAGAUCUGAGGAAGAAUGAAGAGGCUUUGAAGAUAAAGGUAUCUUCACCUCGCCAAGAUCAACCACAUCCUGCAGAACCUUCAUUCAUUCAGCAAACAGCCAGGCUUUGUGCUAGGCCCUGGGGAAAUGGCAAUUAAGGAGACUCAGUCCCUAUCCUCACAGAACACCCCAUCUGACACGGAAAUAGCUCCUGGCCCGCAAUGUGGUAAGAUGCAGUAAUACGUGCAAGGCCCCUGACUUAGUGGCAAUGAUGUUUAAGCCGAGAUCUGAAGGAUAACUAACAACGGCGUGCCAGAGAAAAGAGUAGCGGGUGGAGAGAGGAGGCCAGGGGAAUAUUUCUGGGCUUGGUAAGUAAGCCAGGUCCCUGCCAGACAUGGACUGAGAAGAGCAAAGCCAGGAGUGACAGCUGACGAUUAUUUUUUAACUGAGGAAGGAAGAUCCUUGAGAACGGAACCUCUUGGGACCUUCUACCCAGAACACCAGAGCACCUCACUGGGAUCAGAGCCAGGCCAUCGGGUGGAUUAAGCAACUAAAAUUGAUUGUCCUGAACCAUGAGUCUGUCUGUUUAUGGGGAGAGAAACUUUGAGAUGAAUUAAUCCACAGGUCCAAUGGGACUUUGACAUUUUAAUUUGUAGAAAUAAAACUUGCCUUUGAUUUUGCCA